rnacentral:rRNA from 1 species
UACGGGAGGCAGCAGUGGGGAAUAUUGGACAAUGGGCGCAAGCCUGAUCCAGCCAUGCCGCGUGUGUGAUGAAGGCCUUAGGGUUGUAAAGCACUUUCGCCGGUGAAGAUAAUGACGGUAACCGGAGAAGAAGCCCCGGCUAACUUCGUGCCAGCAGCCGCGGUAA